rnacentral:rRNA from 1 species
GGAUGCAAGCUGCCGUUUCAGGAUGGUUCCGCGUCCUAUCAGCUUGUUGGCAGGGUAAUGGCCUACCAAGGCGGACGGACGGGUAGCUGGUCUGAGAGGACGGUCAGCCACACUGGAACUGAGACACGGUCCAGACUCCUACGGGAGGCAGCAGUGGGGAAUUUUGCGCAAUGGGCGAAAGCCUGACGCAGCGAUGCCGCGUGAGUGAAGAAGGCCUUCGGGUCGUAAAGCUCUGUCGCAGGGAAAGAAAUGUGCGGGUGCCAAUAACGCCCGCACUUGACGGUACCCUGAAAGGAAGC